AACGUAGGUGGCAAGCGUUAUCCGGAAUUACUGGGCGUAAAGCGUGCGCAGGCGGUUAUGCAAGACAGAUGUGAAAUCCCCGGGCUCAACCUGGGAACUGCAUUUGUGACUGCAUAGCUAGAGUGCGGCAGAGGGAGAUGGAAUUCCGCGUGUAGCAGUGAAAUGCGUAGAUAUGCGGAGGAACACCGAUGGCGAAGGCAAUCUCCUGGGCCUGCACUGACGCUCAUGCACGAAAGCGUGGGGAGCAAACAGG
rnacentral:rRNA from 1 species